rnacentral:misc_RNA from 1 species
UCCCCGUUACCGGGGCAGUCUAGCUAGAAAAAUUCAACUAACUAUAAGGGUUGCGCUCGUUGAUGGACUUAACCAAACAUCUCACGACACGAGCUGAAGACGGCCAUGCAACACCUGUCAUCGGAUUCCCGAAGGCACUUUCUCCUUUCGGAGAAAUUCCCGAGAUGUCAAACCUUGGUAAGGUUCUUCGCUUAUCGUCGAAUUAAACAACACGCUCCACCGCUUGUGCGGGUCCCCGUCAAUUCCUUUAUGUUUUAAGCUUGCGCUCGUACUCCACAGGCGGGAUGCUUAACGCGUUAGCUUCGCUACUAGAAGGGUCGAUACUUCUAACAGCUAGCAUCCAUAGUUUACGGCGUGGACUAC